UUUCGGUCAACUGCUUAUCUUUGGUUCACAGGUAGUCUGGAAUAUGGUAAGUACUGUAUAUUGUUUCUUCAUAUAAGAAAGCUUUUAUAUCAUCAACUGAGUUUUCCCAUAAAUGUUACAAUGAGUUGUGAAACAUAAAAUUUACUAUUGAAUCUGUUACUGAUUCUUUUUUAAAGGAAAAUGCAAGAGAAGAUGUUCCACUGAAGACCCUCAGGCUGCUAGUGUGACACUCGUCUCUGUAAUUUUCAUGAUGCAAAUGCCCACAAAAGUGGUUUUGACCUGACUGACCCUGUAUGAGGAGGCACAGUCUUCUCAUCAGCAUGAGCAUGUAGCAUCAGAUGCAGAGACAGUUUUGCACACGGAUGGAUGUUUACAAACUGAGACUCCUACAGUGUCCCUUUGAGAAACUGUGGGCACAGCAUCUCUGAAUCCUAUUAGUGACCAUAGAAUUAAUUUCACCUAAUACGCUUUCAUCACCAACUUGUGAAAACAGAACAUGUGAAUGUCAUGAGUCCAUUGAAAAAAGACAGUAAGUGGGCUUGAAAAACAGAAUAAAAAAGUUUUUAUUUAGAUUAUAAUUAAAAUAAUACAGUUAAAAAAUAGGUACCUUCUACCUAAAUGUGUCACUAGAUGCUAAAACACUUUUGCUCAUCUGUAAAUAUGUGAAUACGAUUAGGUUUAUAUUACUUUAAAGAAAGUGUAUUACGUUAUCUACAUGCAUAACAUCAUAUUUGAUAGACUCAAUUAUUAAAAACAGCUAUUUUCACUGUAGUUAAAUAGGCCAUAGGUUCUGAUUUUCAAAUGAAAAGAAAACAUAGUUUUAGUAAAAAUGCGUCUCAAAGGAACAGUAUUAGUUUUUUCACUUUUAUUAAGUGGUUCUCUGGUCACUGCCUUUUCCCCCACCAGAAGCGCUGAUGACUCAAGUAUUCCUAUUAACUGAUAAGUCAUUCCUUUCCAAACCUCUAUUAAGAUUUAUAAGCACAUAGAUUCUAAGCACAAACCUUUCAAAAUAGGAAAAUAUCCUUCUCAUUAUAUGCCAUUGUUCUCAUGGCUUUGAUACACAGGGAAUCUCAUCUAAAUUGGUUCGCUAAAAGCAGUUGCUACAGGGUGUUUAUAACAAAUAUUGAAACUAUGUCGCUAGUUAUCAUGGAGGCAAUUUUUCGACAAUUUCUUUGAUCUCCAUCAUUUUCUUUCACUUAAAAUGACCUAGCUCGGUGAAAAAAAUCUAAGAACAAUUAAAACUAAUCACACCCCAAUUUAAAGGCCAUAUUUGUCCUAUCUGAACUAAUGUUACGUUGCAGUAGUUCCAUUGCACUUUCACUCUGUAAUAGGAUGUUAAAAUAAUAUUCUUCACCUCUCACUUUUGACUGAGGCUUUUAGAUAGGUGCCAAUCACUUCCAACAGGUACUAACCAUUCUCAAAUUCCAAGUUUGUGGUAUAAUUUAAAAGUACAUUUGGGUUUUGUCUCAAGUUCCUGGCACUGAGCUUCACAAACCCUAGGAAUUUUCUGAAUAAGAGUGUCUUGCUAUUCAUACAACCCCUAUUGGACCACACCUGAAUUUAUGCCAGCAAGAUGGUUCAUGGAUGUGGGGCUGGAAGACUGGCUGGAUGGCUUCAGGAUAAAGGAUGUCUGCCGGAAAAACCAAUCAUGUAAUUAGAGGGUAGAAACUUUUGCCCUCUCAAUCUCUGGGGAGAUGAAAGGGGUUAGAAUUGAGCCCAAUUACAUGACCAGUGAUUUAAACAAUUAUACCUAGAAAAUGAAACGUAAAUAAAACCCCUCAGCAAUAAGGCUUGGAGAGCUUCCUGCAUGAUGAAUGUACUGAUAUGCUAGAAAGGCCAGUUCGUGAGGACACAAAAGCUCUGUACCCAGCACCCCUCCACACCUUGCUGCUCUGCGUGUCUCUUCAUCUGGCGGUUCACUUGUGUCCUUUAUAAUAAACUGUCAUUGUAACUAUAAAAAAAGAAGUAUUUGUACAUUUUGAAUAGGAUAUAUUUUCAUGUGGCCUGUGUCAAUCUUUUAGGUUAAAAUAUGUGUUCCAUAGUUCAAACAAAAUUUCAAAUACACUAGUGAAAGGAGAAUUGCUCAGAAAUUGUAUCUUUCAUGAGAGUUCUAGCAGAAAUGUACCUUUCUAUGUCUUAGCACUGUUUUUCUUUAUUUCUCCUUCUGAAUUAUCGACUUGUUUUUAUGAGCACGGUUGGCUUGUCUGUCAUCAAAGAGCUGUUUUAUUUGGGGAAAUGGAUUUUUCUUUUUCCAACAAAUUUUGGGCAGACUUCAGUACUGUUGAUAACUAAGGCAGUCAUCUAGAUAAAACAAUUAUGUGAGAAUGUCUUAUCAUUUGAGUUGUUAUAUGUGUCAAUGGAUAGUUUUGGGAUUUUGUUUUUUAGAAAUGAAUCUCACACAGAAUGUGGCUUAUGAAAAUGAAGAGGGCAGAGGGGUCAUGGACCUUGCCUGUCACACAUCUUUUACAUGCAAACAAAAUGUGAAGAGACGACUGAAGCAGAGAUGGCCGAGACUUGGCUUCAGAGUGAUCUCACCAGCGAGACGAGCACCACAAUUGUUCCAGCCAGCCCAGCCCCAUCAGAGGAACAGGCUGUGGAGAAACUGAGAGAAAAGAUUUCAUUUCAGAACACAGGAAAAGGAACAUUGCCAUCUCUCAUCCAAAAAACUCUGUUAUGAAAUAAUGACUGAAACUGCUUCUCUGAGUAGCAAGCCUAAAGAUGGAAACCCAACCUUCGAUCAAGUGAAGAUCCCUCCUCCAAAAGUGGACAUCUGUUGGAACCCAGUGAGGUGGACUUGACCUCCAGCCUCAAGGAAGUGGACCCAGUCAGGCCGGCUCUCCUGAGCAAGUCAGGUCUGAGUCAUCAGAUGGGAUCAGCCACUCACGCCUCCCUAUGUCCUACUGGGGGACUGUGGAUGAAGAUCGAGGAAUCAUCUCUACAGCUCUGUUAGCUGCAAGUAGUGAGCUCAGAGACCAGGACCUGUUCCCAGUGGAACCAUUCAUGGCUCUGCAGCUGAGAUGCGGAACAUGCCUGCUGCCAUGCCUGCACUCUUGAUGUGACCCCUCCCGGCACAGUGUCCUUCACCCAGAGGAAUUUAAGAACAUUCCCUUCAGCUGAAAGUGUCGCCUUGCCUCAGUGCCAGGCUGGCAGUGCCACAGUCUGUGGCUUCUCAGGAGGCUGUCCCUGUCCAGCUGUCAUGGGAGAACAUGUGCAGAACUCUGUGGCUGGGAAUUUGGGACCAAAUACUGUCUCUGGAUGGAUGGGUUCCUCUUCCAUCUGCAACCCAGAUUCUAAUGCCUUACAUGGGAACCUGCUAAGCACAGCGAAACCCUUUCCUGUGCAGUCUGUUGGUUCAAACUGCGGAAAGGAACCACGGGAUUCAAGAGUGACAUCAGGAUGGGGUUAAGCAGUGGCUUAUGAUUUGUGAGAGAAAACAGGAAGACAUGACUGACAGUGACACCAAAGAAUUCAGUAGCUAUAAUGGAUCCGGAAAAUAUUUGUGCCAUUUGGACCUGAGUGUGAAGUGGUGUUAAAAGGUGAAGUCCGGUCUAGCCAACAUUUGGUGUCACUCUCACUGUUACUGUGGGGAGUCCUGUUAUGAAGGUGAGAA